GACGAACGCUGGCGGCGUGCUUAACACAUGCAAGUCGAACGGAAAGGCCCUGCUUUUGUUGGGUUCUCGUGUGGCGAACGGGUGUGUAACACGUGUGUAUCCUGCCCUUGUCUUUGGGAUAACUUCAGGAAACUUGGGCUCAUACCCGAUAGGAUCUCCUGCUGCAUGGUGUGGUUUGGUAAGUUUCGGCGGUUGGGGAUGGUCUCGCGGCUUCUCAGCUUGUUGGUGGGGUAGUGGCUUACCAAGGCUUUGACGGGUAGCCGGCCUGAGAGGGUGACCGGCGACAAUGGGACUGAGAUACGGCCCAGACUCCAACGGGAGGCAGCAGUGGGGAAUAUUGCACAAUGGGCGGAAGCCUGAUGAAGAAACGCCGCGUGCGGGAUGACGGCCUUCGGGUUGUAAACAGAUUUCGAAUGUGACGAAGCGAGAGUGACGGUAAUGGGUAAAGAAGCACCGGCUAACUACGUG
rnacentral:rRNA from 1 species